GGGAAGCCGGUGAGAGCCCGGCGCUGACCCGCAACCGUGAGCGACGCCCGUACGGGGCGAACUGCCGUCCCGUACGGGCGUCGUGAGCCGGAGCACC
rnacentral:ncRNA from 1 species